rnacentral:misc_RNA from 1 species
AAACUAUUCGAAUAGCCGUGCCCGCGGUUAUGGGCAGGUCUAACAAUGUUUUUCGUGAUUAGUCUCACACCUCUCACAAUAAUUAUUGAUGCUAUAACUGGUAAUAAUUUGUUUAGCUCCUGGUUUGGAGUUAGAUCUGUACAGCCGGGUAUGGUUGUUCAGGAUGGUUGGGCCUGUGCAGCAUGGGUGU